rnacentral:rRNA from 1 species
GACGAACGCUGGCGGCGUGCCUAAUACAUGCAAGUAGAACGCUGAAGGAGGAGCUUGCUCUUCUGGAUGAGUUGCGAACGGGUGAGUAACGCGUAGGUAACCUGCCUGGUAGCGGGGGAUAACUAUUGGAAACGAUAGCUAAUACCGCAUAAGAGUAGAUGUUGCAUGACAUUUGCUUAAAAGGUGCAAUUGCAUCACUACCAGAUGGACCUGCGUUGUAUUAGCUAGUUGGUGGGGUAACGGCUCACCAAGGCGACGAUACAUAGCCGACCUGGGAGGGGGGUCGGCAACACUGGGACUGUGACACGGCCCAGACGCCUACGGGAGGCAGCAGUCGCGAAUCUUCGGCGAUGGACGGAAGUCUGACCGAGCAACGCCGCGUGAGUGAGGAAGGUUUUCGGAUCGUAAAGCUCUGUUGUAAGGGAAGAACGAGUGUGAGAGUGGAAAGUUCACACUGUGACGGUAUCUUAUCAGAAAGGGACGGCUAACUACGUG